UAACAAGGUCUCCGUUGGUGAACCAGCGGAGGGAUCAUUACUGAGUUAUCUAAACUCCCAACCCUUUGUGAACCUUACCGUCGUUGCCUCGGCGGGCUGUGCCUACCCUGUAGCUACCCUGUAGCUACCCGGUAGGUACGCUGCAAGCCCGCCGGUGGACCACCAAACUCUGUUUUAAUACUGAAUCUCUGAAUGCUUCAACUUAAUAAGUUAAAACUUUCAACAACGGAUCUCUUGGUUCUGGCAUCGAUGAAGAACGCAGCGAAAUGCGAUAAGUAAUGUGAAUUGCAGAAUUCAGUGAAUCAUCGAAUCUUUGAACGCACAUUGCGCCCAUUAGUAUUCUAGUGGGCAUGCCUAUUCGAGCGUCAUUUCAACCCUUAAGCCUAGCUGCUUAGUGUUGGGAAUCUGCCCUGCUCCUGCAGCGCAGUUCCCCAAAGUGAUCGGCGGAGUUAGGGCAUACUCUAAGCGUAGUAAUAUCUCUUCUCGCUUCUGUAGUUGUCCUGGCGGCUUGCCGUUAAACCCCUAUAUUUCUAGUGGUUGACCUCGGAUUAGGUAGGAAUACCCGCUGAACUUAAGCAUAUGGAGCAAAAGAAACCAACAGGGAUUGCCCUAGUAACGGCGAGUGAAGCGGCAACAGCUCAAAUUUGAAAUCUGGCCCUAGCGGUCCGAGUUGUAAUUUGUAGAGGAUGCUUUUGGUUAGGUGCCUUCCGAGUUCCCUGGAACGGGACGCCGGAGAGGGUGAGAGCCCCGUACGGUUGGACACCGAGCCUCUAUAUAGCUCCUUCGACGAGUCGAGUAGUUUGGGAAUGCUGCUCUAAAUGGGAGGUAAAUUUCUUCUAAAGCUAAAUACCGGCCAGAGACCGAUAGCGCACAAGUAGAGUGAUCGAAAGAUGAAAAGUACUUUGAAAAGAGGGUUAAAUAGCACGUGAAAUUGUUGAAAGGGAAGCGUUUGCGACCAGACUUUUUCCAGGCGGAUCAUCCGGUGUUCUCACCGGUGCACUUCGCCUGGUUUAGGCCAGCAUCGGUUCUCUUAGGGGGAUAAAGGCCUGGGGAACGUAGCUCCCUCGGGAGUGUUAUAGCCCCUCGCGUAAUACCCUUCGGGGGACCGAGGAACGCGCAUCUGCAAGGAUGCUGGCGUAAUGGUCGUCAACGACCCGUCU
rnacentral:rRNA from 1 species